CAGUUGCGAAGAUGAAGACUGUUAGAGUUAUUAUUUCUUUGGUGGUGCUGAAGGGUUGGGAGAUGUGUCAAAUCGAUGUUAAAAAUGCCUUUCUCAACGGGGAUCUCGAAGAGGAAGUAUAUAUGUGUAUGCCCCCGAGUUUUGAGAGACCUGUAAAAUGCUGUAAACUGAAGAAGGCUUUGUAUGGGCUCAAACAGUGUCCCCGGGUAGGGGUGCACAACGAGUCAAACUACUCGAUCUCGACUCGUAAGCGAGUUCGAGCUGCUUAUUUAGUUAAACGAGUCGAGCUCGAGUUGACGAGUUGACUCGUUUAACUAAUCGAGUCUAGUUCGAGUUCACUCAAGUGGGCUCGUUAAUGCUCGACUCGGCUCGAUUAGUUAAUGAACUGGUUUUAAAAAAACCGGUUCAGAAGCUUCUCACAGGCGGGAAACUUUUUUUCACUUUAGGGUUUCCUUUUUUUGUUCUCCCUCUCUCCGACUCUGACUCUCCCUCUCUCCGACUCUGACUCUCCCUCUCUCGGUCUCUCCGACUUCUCCUUCUCUUCUCCCGUUCUCCGCCUGUGCUCUGCGCUCCUGCCACCCUGCUUGUGCUCUUCUUCUCCGCCUAUGCUCUGCGCUCCUGCCGCCCUGCUUGUGCUCUUCUUCUCCGCCUGUGCUCUGCGCACCAGCCGCCCUGCGUCAGUGUGCUCCGCCUCUCUGCUUCUCCAGUGACAUCCAACUCAAAGGCUGCGCAUCAUGCUCCGGUGGUGUCCCCUUUCUCCCUCUCUCUCCUCCAAAUGCAACCCUAACCUAACUCCUCCGCCGGCGCCUAUUUCAACCUUCGGUGUUCCUGUCGUAGCCGGCAGCUCCGUUGAAGCCUUCAACCUUCAAGGUUUCUGUUGCAGCCGGCGGCUCUGCUUCAUCUUUGAAGCACCUGCUUCAACUUUCAGCGUUCCUGUCGCAACCGAUAGAUCCGCUGAAGCCUUCAGCCUUCAAGGUUUCUGUCUCAGCCGGCGGCUCUGCUUCAUCCUUCAUCCAUCAAGAUUGCAAAUCAUCUAGACCGUGCAGUUGCAAACUUGGGAAGAAGGCCC